rnacentral:sRNA from 1 species
AUGUACCCAAAGUACAUUCCGGUGCCUGCGCUCCGUGCGCCUUGCCUCGCGCCCGCUCGCUACGCUUUCUGGCC